rnacentral:rRNA from 1 species
UACGAAGGGGGCUAGCGUUGCUCGGAAUUACUGGGCGUAAAGCGCACGUAGGCGGGUUGUUAAGUCGGGGGUGAAAUCCUGGAGCUCAACUCCAGAACUGCCUUCGAAACUGGCGAUCUUGAGUCCGGGAGAGGUGAGUGGAACUCCGAGUGUAGAGGUGAAAUGCGUAGAGAUGCGGAGGAACACCAGUGGCGAAGGCGGCUCACUGGCCCAGUACUGACGCUGAGGUGCGAAAGCGUGGGGAGCAAACAGG